AACGAACGCUGGCGGCAGGCCUAAUACAUGCAAGUCGAGCGCGCCCUUCGGGGUGAGCGGCGGACGGGUGAGUAACGCGUGGGAAUAUGCCCUUCUCUAAGGAAUAGCCUCUGGAAACGGAGAGUAAUACCUUAUACGCCCUUUGGGGGAAAGAUUUAUCGGAGAAGGAUUAGCCCGCGUUAGAUUAGGUAGUUGGUGGGGUAAUGGCCUACCAAGCCUACGAUCUAUAGCUGGUUUGAGAGGAUGAUCAGCCACACUGGGACUGAGACACGGCCCAGACUCCUACGGGAGGCAGCAGUAGGGAAUCUUAGACAAUGGGGGCAACCCUGAUCUAGCCAUGCCGCGUGUGUGAUGAAGGCCCUAGGGUCGUAAAGCACUUUCGCCAGAGAUGAUAAUGACAGUAUCUGGUAAAGAAACCCCGGCUAACUCCGUGCCAGCAGCCGCGGUAAUACGGAGGGGGUUAGCGUUGUUCGGAAUUACUGGGCGUAAAGCGCACGUAGGCGGAUUAGUAAGUUAGAGGUGAAAUCCCAGGGCUCAACCCUGGAACUGCCUUUAAUACUGCUAGUCUUGAGUUCGAGAGAGGUAAGUGGAAUUCCGAGUGUAGAGGUGAAAUUCGUAGAUAUUCGGAGGAACACCAGUGGCGAAGGCGGCUUACUGGCUCGAUACUGACGCUGAGGUGCGAAAGUGUGGGGAGCAAACAGGAUUAGAUACCCUGGUAGUCCACACCGUAAACGAUGAAUGCCAGACGUCAGCAAGUAUACUUGUUGGUGUCACACCUAACGGAUUAAGCAUCCG
rnacentral:rRNA from 1 species